GUCUGGGAAACUGCCUGAUGGAUUGGGAUAACUACUGGAAACGGUAGCUAAUACCGCAUAACGUCGCAAGACCAAAGUGGGGGACCUUCGGGCCUCAUGCCAUCAGAUGUGCCCAGAUGGGAUUAGCUAGUAGGUGGGGUAACGGCUCACCUAGGCGACGAUCCCUAGCUGGUCUGAGAGGAUGACCAGCCACACUGGAACUGAGACACGGUCCAGACUCCUACGGGAGGCAGCAGUGGGGAAUAUUGCACAAUGGGCGCAAGCCUGAUGCACCCAUGCCGCGUGUGUGAAAAAGGCCUUCGGGUUGUAAAGCACUUUCAGCGGGGAGGAAGGCGGUGAGGUUAAUAACCUCGUCGAUUGACGUUACCCGCAAAAAAAGCACCGGCUAACUCCGUGCCAGCAGCCGCGGUAAUACGGAGGGUGCAAGCGUUAAUCGGAAUUACUGGGCGUAAAGCGCACGCAGGCGGUCUGUCAAGUCGGAUGUGAAAUCCCCGGGCUCAACCUGGGAACUGCAUUCUAAACUGGCAGGCUAGAGUCUUGUAGAGGGGGGUAGAACUCCAGGUGUAGCGGUGAACUGCGUAGAGAUCUGGAGGAAUACCGGUGGCGAAGGCCGCCCCCUGUACAAAGACUGACGCUCAGGUGCAAAAGCGUGGGGAGCAAACAGGAUUACAUACCCUGGUAGUCCACCCCAUAAACGAUGUCAUUUGGGA
rnacentral:rRNA from 1 species